rnacentral:rRNA from 1 species
AUUGAACGCUGGCGGCAUGCUUUACACAUGCAAGUCGAACGGUAACAGGGAGCUUGCUCCGCUGACGAGUGGCGAACGGGUGAGUAAUAUAUCGGAACGUACCCAAGAGUGGGGGAUAACGUAGCGAAAGUUACGCUAAUACCGCAUACGAUCUAUGGAUGAAAGCAGGGGAUCUUCGGACCUUGUGCUCCUGGAGCGGCCGAUAUCUGAUUAGCUAGUUGGUGAGGUAAAGGCUCACCAAGGCGACGAUCAGUAGCUGGUCUGAGAGGACGAGCAGCCACACUGGACCUGAGGCACGGUCCAGACUCCUACGGGAGGCAGCAGUGGGGAAUUUUGGACAAUGGGCGCAAGCCUGAUCCAGCAAUGCCGCGUGAGUGAAGAAGGCCUUCGGGUUGUAAAGCUCUUUUGUCAGGGCAGAAACGGGAGUGGCUAAUAUCCAUUCCUAAUGACGGUACCUGAAGAAUAAGCACCGGCUAACUACGUGCCAGCAGCCGCGGUAA